GACGAACGCUGGCGGCGGGCUUAACACAUGCAAGUCGAACGGAAAGGCCCUGCUUGCUUGGGGUUCUCGAGUGGCGAACGGGUGAGUAACACGUGAGUAUCCUGCCCUUGACUUUGGGAUAACUUCAGGAAACUGGGGCUAAUACCGGAUAGGAGCUGCUGCUGCAUGGUGGGGGUUGGAAAGUUUCGGCUGUUGGGGAUGGAUGCGCGGCUUAUCAGCUUGUUGGUUGGGGAGUGGCUUACCAAGGCUUUGACGGGUAGCCGGCCUGAGAGGGUGGCCGGCGACAAUGGUACUGAGAGAGGGAGCAGAGGCGUAUGUGGGGCAGCGGGGGGGAAUAUUACCCAGUGGUCGGAAGUCUGAUACAAAAGCGUCCGGUGUGUAAAGACGGCCUUCUGGUUGUAAACCGCUUUAGCCUGUGACGAAGCGUGAGUGACGGUAAUGGGUAAAGAAGCACCGGCUAACUACGUG
rnacentral:rRNA from 1 species